rnacentral:rRNA from 1 species
UACGUAGGGGGCGAGCGUUAUCCAGAUUUACUGGGCGUAAAGGGCUCGUAGGCGGCCAACUAAGUCAGACGUGAAAUCCCUCGGCUUAACCGGGGAACUGCGUCUGAUACUGGAUGGCUUGAGUUUGGGAGAGGGAUGCGGAAUUCCAGGUGUAGCGGUGAAAUGCGUAGAUAUCUGGAGGAACACCGGUGGCGAAGGCGGCAUCCUGGACCAACACUGACGCUGAGUGAGCGAAAGCCAGGGGAGCAAACGGG